UUCACAGGAAAAAUAUGUUCAAUAAAAUAGCGAUAGACUGCUCUCUUCUUCGUUCGUCUAGGGUUUUCAUGUGUUUUCAAUCUUAUUAAUUAGCCAUGGAUCUCGUUUUUCUGAACUGAUUUUCCAAUCGAUGUUUUAAAUUUUUUUUUGAGUUUGUGAAAUAGAAAUAGGGUUCCUUAAUGAUGUCAAUCUAGAUGACGAGACUGAUAAUCCAUUCAUAACCUUGAUGUUAACUGAGGCAUUUGUCUGAGAGGAACUCUUAAAAAUUUCACCUUGUUUUUUGUUUUCCUGUUUUCUGAAUUCUCUUCGUUUAUUUGAUUUUCUUUAGAUUUAUUUUUCUUUCUUAUCUGAAAUUCGGGGAUUUAGGGUUUGUGAUUCUUUCUUAAUGAUGAUAAUAUAGAUGACGAGACUGAUAUAUCCAUUCUUAACCUUGAUGUUAAAUGAGGCAUUUGUCUGAGAGGAAAAAUAAAUAAAAAACCCUUAAAGAUCCCAUUCUUUGUUUUUGUUUGAUUUCAUUAUGUUAUACCUCAAUCUUUUUAUUUCUGAUUUUUUAUUUCUAAUGGAGAAUUUCAAUACUCCAAUUUGAGUUUCAUUGAGGCGUUCCUAGGCUGCACCAACAUUGAUUUAUAGUAUAACCUUUGGUCACUGGGGUUGGUCCUCUCUGUUCCAUAGAUAUGUGUCAUAUUAUUUGCUCCGGUUAAUGAAGAUCUUUCUGUUCAAACAACAGUCGUUCAUAAAUGACAAAGAUAUGUGGGCUUAUAUUCUGUCUACCUUAUAGUACCUUUGAAGUGAAGAUCCGGGGAUCGGAUUGUCUCCUCUGGCUGCUGCCUCUUGAAGUCUAUUUAGGCUUUCUAAGGUUUGAUUUUUUUCGGUCAAUAUAUGUACCCUAAUUUUGGGGGUAUACUAAUGAACAAAGAAGUGAACUAGCCUUAGAAGGUCAAUGUACGCUUUGAGGGCCAGUGCCAAAAGAAUUAGUUGCAUGUGGCAUAAGUUACAUGACUAACAGCUCCACAAAGCAAGUUUAAUAGUUCCAUGUAGCUCCUCAUGUGGUCAAUUGUGCUUCACAGGCACUUCUUUCAGUUAUUUUUAUAGUAAUUUGAAAGCAAGUUUAAGGUGGCGAUUUUAUCUGAUUUUGCAUUUAGCACUAUGUACAACUUCGAACCACUUGAGCUUCUUGUACUACAGCAGAGGAAACAAGUAAAAGGCGACUUAAGAUAACCUAGCAACUCUGAAGGUGUUGGAGUGGGCCAACUUUUUGAAGUGCAGGAACAUCAAGAUUACAGGGAGCAAUGAACAACUUAACAGAAGGGAGACAUCAUAAACGCAGUCUGUCAAGCUGACUGCACUGUUGAUAAGAUUUUAGACUUUAAAAACAAAUUUAAUUCGAUAUUUUGUAAGUAUUUAAAUACUAAAUGCUUGAGAGACCAAUCCGAGGUCUUGGGUUGACACUGAGCAGCUCACUAUUUCCUGUAAUAUAUGUGUUUUUUUCUAUCAAAAAAAAAUCACCAAGAAAUGUUUUCUGAAGCA